AGAGUUUGAUCCUGGCUCAGGAUGAACGCUGGCGGCGUGCUUAAUACACGCAAGUCGAACGGAAGACUAGAAAUAGGAAUUAGUGGCGAACGGGUGAGUAACGCGUUGGUGACCUGCCCCGAAGAGGGGGAUAACAGCUCGAAAGGGCUGCUAAUACCCCAUGAGAUCUGCAUAGUCAGAGGGUGCAGAUGAAAGGAGAAAUCCGCUUUGGGAGGGGCCUGCGUCCCAUCAGCUAGUUGGUAAGGUAAAAGCCUACCAAGGCGAAGACGGGUAGGGGACCUGAGAGGGUGACCCCCCACACUGGCACUGAAACACGGGCCAGACACCUACGGGUGGCAGCAGUAGGGAAUAUUGCACAAUGGGCGAAAGCCUGAUGCAGCAACUCCGCGUGCGCGAAGAAGGCCUUCGGGUUGUAAAGCGCUUUUCGGGGAGAAGAGGAAGGACAGUAUCCCCGGAAUAAGGCUCGGCUAACUACGUGCCAGCAGCCGCGGUAACACGUAGGAGCCAAGCGUUAUCCGAAUUCACUGGGCGUAAAGCGCGUGUAGGCGGUCUUAUAAGUUGGAUGUGAAAGCUCCUGGCUCAACUAGGAGAGGACGUUCAAUACUGUGAGACUAGAGGACGGCAGAGGAAGGUGGAAUUCCCGGUGUAGUGGUGAAAUGCGUAGAUAUCGGGAGGAACACCAGAGGCGAAGGCGGCCUUCUGGGCCGAUCCUGACGCUCAGACGCGAAAGCUAGGGGAGCGAACGGGAUUAGAAACCCCGGUAGUCCUAGCCGUAAGCGAUGUAGACUUGGCGCGGGUGGUGUAAAAGCUAUCUGUGCCGAAGCUAACGCGAUAAGUCUACCGCCUGGGGACUACGGCCGCAAGGUUAAAACUCAAAGGAAUUGACGG
rnacentral:rRNA from 1 species